rnacentral:tRNA from 5 species
GUCGGCGUAGCUCAAUUGGUAGAGCAACGGAUUCCAAAUCCGUAGGUCGCAGGUUCGAUUCCUGUCGCCGGUGCCA